rnacentral:rRNA from 1 species
UUUGGACAAUGGGGGCAACCCUGAUCCAGCCAUCCCGCGUGUGCGAUGAAGGCCUUCGGGUUGUAAAGCACUUUUGGCAGGGAAGAAACAGCCUGGGCUAAUAUCCCGGGCGACUGACGGUACCUGCAGAAUAAGCACCGGCUAACUACGUGCCAGCAGCCGCGGUAAUACGUAGGGUGCAAGCGUUAAUCGGAAUUACUGGGCGUAACGCGUGCGCAGGCGGUUCGGAAAGAAAGGUGUGAAAUCCCAGGUCUUAACCUUGGAACUGCACUUUNAACUACCGGGCUAGAGUACGUCAGAGGGGUGUAUAAUUCCACGUGUAGCAGUGAAAUGAGCAGAGAUGUGGAGGAAUACCGAUGGCGAAGGCAGCCCCCUGGGAUGAUACUGACGCUCAUGCACGAAAGCGUGGGGAGCAAACA